rnacentral:rRNA from 1 species
GAUGAACGCUGGCGGCGUGCCUAAUACAUGCAAGUCGAGCGAACAGACGAGGAGCUUGCUCCUCUGACGUUAGCGGCGGACGGGUGAGUAACACGUGGAUAACCUACCUAUAAGACUGGUAUAACUUCGGGAAACCGGAGCUAAUACCGGAUAAUAUAUUGAACCGCAUGGUUCAAUAGUGAAAGACGGUUUUGCUGUCACUUAUAGAUGGAUCCGCGCCGCAUUAGCUAGUUGGUAAGGUAACGGCUUACCAAGGCAACGAUGCGUAGCCGACCUGAGAGGGUGAUCGGCCACACUGGAACUGAGACACGGUCCAGACUCCUACGGGAGGCAGCAGUAGGGAAUCUUACGCAAUGGGCGAAAGCCUGACGGAGCAACGCCGCGUGAGUGAUGAAGGUCUUCGGAUCGUAAAACUCUGUUAUUAGGGAAGAACAAAUGUGUAAGUAACUAUGCACGUCUUGACGGUACCUAAUCAGAAAGCCACGGCUAACUACGUG